rnacentral:rRNA from 1 species
GUGGCGAACGGGUGAGUAACACGUGGGCAAUCUGCCCUUCACUCUGGGACAAGCCCUGGAAACGGGGUCUAAUACCGGAUAACACUCUGUCCUGCAUGGGACGGGGUUAAAAGCUCCGGCGGUGAAGGAUGAGCCCGCGGCCUAUCAGCUUGUUGGUGGGGUAAUGGCCUACCAAGGCGACGACGGGUAGCCGGCCUGAGAGGGCGACCGGCCACACUGGGACUGAGACACGGCCCAGACUCCUACGGGAGGCAGCAGUGGGGAAUAUUGCACAAUGGGCGAAAGCCUGAUGCAGCGACGCCGCGUGAGGGAUGACGGCCUUCGGGUUGUAAACCUCUUUCAGCAGGGAAGAAGCGAAAGUGACGGUACCUGCAGAAGAAGCGCCGGCUAACUACGUGCCAGCAGCCGCGGUAAUACGUAGGGCGCAAGCGUUGUCCGGAAUUAUUGGGCGUAAAGAGCUCGUAGGCGGCUUGUCACGUCGGAUGUGAAAGCCCGGGGCUUAACCCCGGGUCUGCAUUCGAUACGGGCUAGCUAGAGUGUGGUAGGGGAGAUCGGAAUUCCUGGUGUAGCGGUGAAAU